GCACGCGGACGCGGGGCUGGGGAUCCGCCAGGACACAGAAAGCCACCGCCGCCGGCGAGCCCCGGAAUCUCGCUUUCUCCUGAGGCCUCAAGCUGCGGGCGCGGAGGCCGGGGAGGCGGCCGCGCCCCUGGCGCUGGCGGGCGUGCGGAGAAGGGACUGCGCGCCCUCCGUCGUCGAUCGAUUUUUCACCGAGCGUCGACGGGGAAGGGAUCCGAGGGUUGCUCGCGUUUCCGAUCCAUUCUGCGGGUCAGGUUCCUGCUGAAAGGAGGGACCCCUUCCCAGUAAGAAGUUCCUUAACUCUGGCGCCCCUCGGCGGGAGGAGGAGACGGACCUACUACGCGCCGGAGCCUUUGCACUCUUGGCUUACAGGAUUGUCUUCAGUAUUGUUCCCAUUUUAUGGACUGCCUAAGGGCAAGGGCUUGUACAAAGCCUAGCCAAGUUUCCAAUUCAGUAGAGAUGGGGUUUCACCAUGUUAGCCAGGAUGGUCUCGAUCUCCUGACUUCGUGAUCCGCCCGCCUCGGCCUCCGAAAGUUCUGGGAUUACAGGCGUGAGCCACCGCGCCCGGCCGAAAGGGGCUUUUUCUCUGUGCUCUUCAGCUGGACUCCCAUCCUGCGUUCCUCUUGCUGCCAGUGCCUAUCUUGGACUGCAUAGGAAGCAAGACUGCUGCUGAAGUCCCUGGCUGCACCCUGGAGUGGCUCAGUCUUUUGAGCCUGAGAGGCGUGCCAGGCCUGGAAACAGCCCUUGGACAGAAGGUUCCUGUGUGGGCCUUUACUAAGUCCUCUCCACUCCCUGCUGUGUGUGUCUGCUUAAAUGCUCCCUGGUUUUUGCUGGGAAAAAAAUGGAAAACAAAUCAUUUGAAUGAUUUACAUGAAGAUAGGCGCCAUCUAUCGGAACCAGUUGGGGUGACAAUCCCCCCACCCCCAAGCCCUGAGCGGACAUGCAUCACUAGCCCAUAAUUUAGGCAAUUUUGUUUAAAGACCACUGGUAUUUCCUGGGGGAGUUAAUGGCCGGCUCCAAGAGUGCUUUGGGUCAUUAAUCUUAUAUUCUCAUUAAAUUCUCAGGAAAUGACUAUCUUAUGAGGAGGGAGCACUGCAGAGAUUAGAGAAAUGCACACUGGGAGAGCAUGGGUACCACUUUGGUCCCCGCUCCUAGCUACUCUCACUCCCCACAAAGCCUGGGGUUCUAAAGGGUGCACUGUGGCUUUGAGUGUUGUCAGCAACGUCCAUCACUGCAUCUGUGCGUGUCUGGGAGUUGAGGGUUUGUGGCCAGUGGCAGGUGCGUGGCUGGUGGAAUGCUCCCAGAAACGGGUUGAAGGGCUGGAAGGAGAGCUGUCCUCAACUGCACACCAAGCUGGUGUGAUUAAUACCACCCACGCCAGGCCUGACGUCAGUGAUUGGACUGGGGGUGGGGAUGGAUGUUUGUGUGCUAGCCCUUCUGCUUUUUCUCCCCUUCAAUUUAGUUGACAGGUUAAUUUCAGAACUGAGUGCUGCUUACCAAGGUCAGUGUGACCAGUUGAGCCACCUCAGCUGGUGUCUUUCAGGACACUCAUCUCUCAGGCAUAUUAAGGUGUGUGCUUCUUUAACCCCUAGUUACUUGAGGCCCACAUGGUUCCCUGUGUCAAAUUACUCUAACUUACUCAAGUCAACUCUGGGCAUCUGGUUGAGGAUGAGAUCUAGAAGUGGGAUUGGGGUGGGGUUAAAGACCUAAUUGGGUUUCCUCCCUGUCUGUGGCUAAUAGUCUGAGAGUUACUUGACACUAUACCCAGUGGGAGACAUUUUGAAAAUAAACUUUUGGCCAGGUGUAGUGGCUCACGCCUGCAAUCCCAACACUUUGGGACACUGAGGCCAGUGAAUCACUUGAGGUCAGGAGUUUGAGACCACCCUGGCCAACAUAGUGAAACCCCAGCUCUAUUAAAAAUACAAAAAUUAGCGGAGUGUGGUGGCACACACCUGUAAUCCCAGCUGCUUGGAAGGCUGAGGCAGAAUUGCUGGAACCUGGGAGAUGGAGGUUGCAAUGAGCUGAGAUUGCACCAUUGCACCCCAGCCUGGGUGACAAGAGUGAGACUCCAUCUCAAAAAAAAAAAAAAA
rnacentral:lncRNA from 1 species